UGCAUUUGGUUGCUCUCUACAGUAAGUAAUUUUGGCCUUACAGAAAGUCAUUUGGCCACAGUGAAGUAGCCUUUAACUGUGUUUUACUUGGAAAAGUUUAUUUAAUCGUUAUCCUCUGCACAUACUCUUAGAACAUGUCCAUAUAACAAAAUUGUAGUUGAGGGAGGAAAGUAGAAUUGUGAAUUUAAAAAAAAAAUACUUAUGGUAAUGAUCCUUUUGGCUUCCUGCCUCUAUAUAGAAGCUGGAACCACUUAACCCCAACCUACAGGUCCAGCCCUGACAUGACUGGAACUCAUCUUGACCUUGGGUAAGGGGAAUUCAGGGAGCUGUAGACCAGGAGUUCAUCAGCCAAGCGUGAAGUCCCCUUGGCCCCUGGACAAACUCUUCUCUCAUUUCUCGAGGCUGGGCUCAAGGUUGAUUUCACAGGACAAGGCUUUAACUCCUAGUCCAGUUUAAUGUGUUUCAUCCUGCCCAUGUGCCCAAGUACAACUCAUUGCCUUGUUUUCCUGUAUAGUACCCCUAUUCUGGGCACCCUACAACAGGUUCUCUUAGAGUCCUGCCAGCUCUCCCAUUUCUGGGGCUCAAGACUGGAGAUUCAUGUGAUCUACUGUGUUUACCAGAUGCCCUCCAUCUUGGAUCUCUACCCAUGUCUGUUGCUAGACAGCCGUGGAGCCCUAUUUCACAUUGUUGCUUAGUUAUCCACCAGUCAGCUACUCUUGGACUUCCUUAGAAGCCCAAACUUUUUACAGAUCAGCCCCUGGUGAUUGGUCAAAACUCCAGGUUCCGGCCAGUUCUGCUCUAGCUGGUCUCUCUCAUAACCUUUUGAACUGGGCAGAGAUGCUAGCACAACGGGUAAAGAAAGAUGAAAAAAAAAAGCAACAAAACUAUAAUCAAGAUUGUUGGAAUCUUCAAUAGGCUUCCUUCCACAUAUCCCUUGCCUUCAUUACCUUAUAUUAACAUUCUCAAGUUCUUCAGUAUUCAUUAUCUUAUAUUAACAUUCUUAAGUUCUUGAGUAUUUUUGGAACUAUCCAGUCUCUAGUGGUUAUGCCAGUCAUUGUGUCUACCAGAGCUAUGGGAAUUUUGUCUCCAGCUUUCCAGUCUACUCCCAGUGACAGCCCGGCAGAAAAAGAUUUAUAAUCUCAAACCCAACAAGGAACAUCAAUGAAUGUUUUAUAAAUUCAGUAGUCAUUUGCAACAGUCAGUGACAGAGGCAAGCUGGCUAAUUUCAAAAGGGAGUAUCCCCCUAGUCUGAUAUGUGGGCAUUUGGAGGAGUGGGGAAGGCCUUGUCCUGAGGCUCCUCUGUGUACUGUAAAGAAAUAGAGCCCACAGCAUGUGCUCUAGAAUCAGACCACGCCAGCUUCCUCCUAAUAAGCUGCCUCUGCAUUCCUAAUGUGGAAACGAACAUGAAGCUUCACAGCAAGUUAUUAUCUUAGAGAAGGCCCACCUGGAUGAUAUCAGUUUUCACUGCCAGACCCUCUUAAUAAUUGGCCUUUGACACAUAUCCAGGUGUCGUCUUAGAUCAUAAACACCUAAGUAGCUGUAGGAACAGUGAUUUGAAUAGCAGCCCUUUGCAAAUUUCCAUCUUAAAACUUUUAAGUAAAUCGUUCUUAAGCCUGACUGCAAUUGGAAUCACUUGGAAAGCUUAAAAAUAAAAUGCCCAAGUUUCACCCACCAACCUGUUGAGUUCAAUUAGUCUGAUGUGAGGGUACACAUGACAUCUCGAUUAGGAGAGGUUCAGGGAUUGCUAAUAUUCCACCAGAAUAGAAGACACUUCUUUACAUCUUCAGACAGCGAAAUACCAGCACAACCAUUACUCUGCUGAGCAAUGGGAAACCCAAAAGGAGUAUAUACUUUCAUCUUCACCCAAGGUCAGUUUCUUAUGCCUGUAAGAUCAGCGCUUUCUCCUCUGGUCAGCUGACAGAACAGCCUCACCUACUCUAAGUCACAACCUUCUCUGAGGACCUAAGCUGUAUAAUUAAGGCACAAGUACAAGUCUUUGGGCUUUCAAGGCAAAGUUCCCUUAAGUCCCAACUCACCCUUGCUAACUACCUCUCUGAUUUAUGGAAACCAGGCUCUUCCUUUGCUGGUCACCAGAAGCCUGACUUAUUCAGAACCACUGAAACCCAUCCUGUCCCCUCUCUUUUUACUGUCUGCUUCUAUUCUUUGAUAAGCUGCUGAAACAUACUGCUGUGAAAACUGCUAGUAAUUGGGCACAGUUAGAUUAAGGAAACCCUUCAGGUAGCCUCAAGGUCAAAAAACUGCUUCUUAUGCCAAGAUCCUCCCAAUGACAACAUCCUUUAGAGGAGAGACCAGUUUUUCCUUCUUCCCUGCUACCAGUUUCAACUCCAGUCUGUUGGAAGCUUGACUUCCAGGUCCUGGAAAGCCAGAAGCCAGAAAAAGAUUUAUUACACAUUAGUUCAGAGAAAUAGAAGUGAAAUCUUCUAAGAACUAGAAAAAUUUUCACCGAUUAUUUCCUCAUCCUUCCUCUGCCCAUAUUUUUCUUUGAUGAUGUAACAAAUGCCCUGCACAGUAGUUCAAGCAGCCUUAUAUCACUGGCUUGUAACCUGUUUAUAGAAUAACUGGAGAAUUCUUAUAAAUUCCUGGGCCCUGACAAUAUCUAAUACUUGCAUGGCACAUUAUGGUUUAGAUAACACUUCACAUGCAUUAUCUCAUUUAAUCUUCAUGGGGAAAGUGGCUGACUCAUACAUAUAUAAAGAAAGAGAGCCGAACUUAACUACAGAAUAUAGUUGACAGCACAAAAUAAAGUGACACUAAGUGAGGUACCACGCAGGAACUGCAUAGGUUUCUGUUGUAAUCCUCUCCUGAAUGUGUCCAUUGCUUAUAUAAUGCCAUUCAGUACAAGAUAGUUACCAUAUUAUUUCCCUCCUUAUCUCUUGGUACAAAUAGUGCACAAAGUAGGAAGAUUAGCUGAGUGAUGCUUAAAAUCUCUUCUAGUUAUAUCUCUUCUUUGUUAGCCUUCUUUACACAUUAUCUAAGCAUAACUUUGGAAGUUCUUGAAUUAUUUUUUCCCUAGGAAACUGCAUGUCUUCCAGUAUAUCAUUGGUUGAAAAAGGCACAAACAAAAAACUUAAUUUGAUAUUAAACUUAAGUACAGUGCAGCAUUAUAGAUCCCUCCCUUCUGUUUCUAGCUCUCAUGUGGUUUUCUCAGCAGCUGUAUGAGCACUGAUUUAGUCUGGGAUGUAAACAGUGCACCUUUAAGGUAACCUGUGCGCUUCCGUUAUUUUGUUUUCUGGAAGCCUAUGAGAAGGUUAACGUAGUUCAUUAAGGUUUGCAUAACUUCUUAUGUUUGAUGACUCAUUCACAAAAAUGAAAAGCAGGACUUAGGAUUUGUUAACCAGAAUUAUGUAAACCGUAUAUCUAGCAUAUCUGGGUUAAAAUCCCAACUCUUUAACAUUUUACUAGCUCUACAUUCUUGUGGAAGUCUUUGAGUUAUAGUUCCCUCUUUUGUAGAACCGAAAGAAUACUACCCAUCCCAU
rnacentral:lncRNA from 1 species